rnacentral:rRNA from 1 species
GACGAACGCUGGCGGCGUGCCUAAUACAUGCAAGUGGGACGAGUUGCGAACGGGUGAGUAACGCGUGGUAACCUACCUAUUAGAGGGGGAUAACUAUUGGAAACGGUAGCUAAUACCGCAUACCAUCGGAUGUGCCCAGAUGGGAUUAGCUAGUAGGUGGGGUAACGGCUCAACUAGGCGACUAUCCCUAGCUGGUCUGAGAGAAUGACCAGCCAAACUGGAACUGAGACACGGUCCAGACUCCUACGGGAGGCAGCAGUGGGGAAUAUUGCACAAUGGGCGCAAGCCGGAUGCAGCCAUGCCGCGUGUAUGAAGAAGGCCUUCGGGUUGUAAAGUACUUUCAGCGAGGAGGCGUUACUCGCAGAAGAAGCACCGGCUAACUCCGUGCCAGCAGCCGCGGUAAUAC